UUUCCUCAGGAAUCUUCAGCACCAGACAGAAAACAACAACAAAUAAGCAAGGCUGAAGCUACUUCCAAGAUGAAGAGUAUCAGACCCUGUAUUGGAUUGGCAACUGGUCUUUUCCUUGGAGUCGUAGCAGAUGACAAAUCUAGAUGAUGAAAAGAAUGAAGUUGUGUCAGCAAGAGAGUCGCUCUGCAGUUCCUUUCCUAGUGCCACAGUAUUCCCAUCCUUUUUCUCCAGGUUCAAGAACCUCUCACGUGUCAUUCCAUCUGUUCCCUUUUACUGAUGGAAAAGACAUGUUUAGCGCAGCGAGUCCCUCAUACUGCCAUCAAAAUUUUGCAAUAGAGAGCAUGACUUC